rnacentral:ribozyme from 1 species
UCUCUGUCUCUGAUUCGGGAUUUGCUAAAUCCCAAGGCAUUGGUUCAGUGUGUCGUUGCUCAGGCCUUUCUACCUUAGUGGUGUUUGAUACCUGAGUGCUUCUUGCACUUGAUCCACCCGGAUCAGAAGAAGAUCUUCCAGGGAAACACACUUAGGAAUUGGCUUAAGUGGCACAUUAACUGGA